UGACUCAUCAGUGGUCAUGAUUCAAUGACUCAUCAGUGGUCUCCAUUCAAUGACUCAUCAGUGGUCAUGAUUCAAUGACUCAUUAGUGGUCAUGAUUUAAUGACUCAUCAGUGGUCAUGAUUCAAUGACUCAUCAGUGAUCAUGAUUCAAUGACUCAUCAGUGGUCAUGAUUCAAUGACUCAUUAGUGGUCAUGAUUUAAUGACUCAUCAGUGGUCUCAAUUCAAUGACUCAUCAGUGGGUUCGAUUCAAUGAAUCAUCAGGUGUCUUGUUUCAAUUACUCAUCAGCGGUCCCGAUUCAAUGACUCAUCAGUGGUCCCGAUCCAAUGACUCAUUAGUGGUCUUGAUUCAAUAACACAUCAGUGGUCUUUAUUCAAUGACUCAUCUGUGAUCUCAAUUCGAUGACUCAUCAGUGGUCUCUAUUCAAUGACUCAUCGGUGGUCCCGAUCCAAUGACUCAUUGGUGGUCUUGAUACAAUGACUCAUCAGUGAUCUCGAUUCAAUGACUUAUCAGGGGUCUUGUUUCAAUGACUCAUCAAUGGUCUUGAUUCAAUGACUCAUCAGUGGUCAUGAUUCAAUGACUCAUCAGUGGUCUCUAUGAAAUGACUCAUUAGUGGUCUCAAUUCAAUGACUCAUCAGUGGUAUCGAUUCAAUGAC
rnacentral:lncRNA from 1 species